UACGGAGGGGGUUAGCGUUGUUCGGAAUGACUGGGCGUAAAGCGCGCGUAGGCGGGCUGGAAAGUUGGGGGUGAAAUUCCGGGGCUCAACCCCGGAAUGGCCUUCAAAACUCCCAGCCUAGAGUUCGAGAGAGGUGAGUGGAAUUCCGAGUGUAGAGGUGAAAUUCGUAGAUAUUCGGAGGAACACCAGUGGCGAAGGCGGCUCACUGGCUCGACACUGACGCUGAGGUGCGAAAGCGUGGGGAGCAAACAGG
rnacentral:rRNA from 1 species